rnacentral:misc_RNA from 1 species
AAGUCGUAACAAGGUUUCCGUAGGUGAACCUGCGGAAGGAUCAUCAGUGUAUCUGGUUAUCUCACCCUUUGUGCCGUGUCCUUGCGGUGGGUUCGCCGCAUGUUUUUUUAUUAUUAUUGCAUAUGCAACGCCUGAGCCUGAUCUGUCGAUUUUAAGAACACACACACAACUUUUAACAACGGAUCUCUUGGUUCUC